rnacentral:rRNA from 1 species
AUGCCGAACACAGAAGUUAAGCUCCUUAACGCCGAUGGUACUUGGCGGGUGACUGUCCGGGAGAGUAGGAAGCUGCCGUAA